UUGAAUAAACUUGGUUGGGUUGAUGCUGGCUUCUAGGAGCAUGUGCACGCUCAUUCCAUUUUUAACCACCUGUGCACCUUAUGUAGAUCUGAACAAUCCUCGGGGAAACUCGGUCGGAGAAUUGCCGUGUUUACAACCGGCUCUUCUUGAGUUCAGGUCUAUGUCUUUAUACACUCCAUACGAAUGUAUCAGAAUGUUAUUGAUAGGCGUUACCGCCUUUAAAAUCAAAUA
rnacentral:misc_RNA from 1 species